rnacentral:rRNA from 1 species
AUGUCGAUCGUGAGGCGGAGCAACGUGUUCGACCCCUUCGCCGACCUUUGGGCGGACCCCUUCGACACCUUCCGUUCCAUCGUCCCGGCGAUCUCAGGCGGCAGCAACGAGACGGCCGCGUUCGCCAACGCCCGUGUGGACUGGAAGGAGACCCCCGAGGCGCACGUCUUCAAGGUCGACCUCCCCGGCGUGAAGAAGGAGGAGGUCAAGGUGGAGGUGGAGGACGGCAACGUGCUCGUCGUCAGCGGCGAGCGGAGCAGGGAGAAGGAGGACAAGAACGACAAGUGGCACCGCGUGGAGCGCAGCAGCGGCAAGUUUGUGCGGCGUUUCCGGCUGCCGGAGGACGCCAAGGUGGAGGAGGUCAAGGCCGGGCUGGAGAACGGCGUGCUCACCGUCACCGUGCCCAAGGCCGAGGUCAAGAAGCCCGAGGUGAAGGCCAUCGAGAUCUCCGGCUGA